AUACGAAGGGGGCUAGCGUUGUUCGGAAUUACUGGGCGUAAAGCGCGUGUAGGCGGAUCGUUAAGUCAGGGGUGAAAGCCCGGGGCUCAACCCCGGAACUGCCCUUGAUACUGGCGAUCUAGAGUCCGGAAGAGGUGGGCGGAAUUCCCGGUGUAGAGGUGAAAUUCGUAGAUAUCGGGAGGAACACCAGUGGCGAAGGCGGCUCACUGGUCCGGUACUGACGCUGAGACGCGAAAGCGUGGGGAGCAAACAGGAUUAGAAACCCUGUAGUCC
rnacentral:rRNA from 1 species